rnacentral:rRNA from 1 species
UACGUAGGGUGCGAGCGUUGUCCGGAUUUACUGGGCGUAAAGAGCGCGCAGGCGGUCGUACAAGUCGCGUGUGAAAGCCCCCGGCUCAACUGGGGAGGGUCACGCGAUACUGUUCGACUCGAAGGCAGGAGAGGGAAGCAGAAUUCCCGGUGUAGUGGUGAAAUGCGUAGAUAUCGGGAGGAAUACCAGUGGCGAAGGCGGCUUCCUGGCCUGUUCUUGACGCUGAGGCGCGAAAGCUAGGGUAGCAAACGGG